CUUUUUUCUUUUUUUUUUGUACAAGGCAAGUUGCAGGAAGCAGCUGAAGUAAAGGAAGCCAAGAGCAUCCUCAUUCACAUCAAGGACAGAGACUGUGUGGCUCUGGAGGUGCAGUACCACAGAAGUUGCUACAGAGAGUACACAAGGUUUUUGAGUGAGCCUGUCAGAGCAGAGAAAGAACAGAUUGGGCCAACAUUUGAUCUGAGCUACAAGUUAUUCUGCGAGAGGGUAAUCCGCUAAAGGCUACUGAUCAACCAAGAGGUGCUGAGGAUGAGCCAACUGAGGAAGGCCUUUAUUGCCCUUGUGCAGUCAAGUGAAGGUGUUGAUGCUUCAACCUACAGACAGGAUAUAUUGAAGAAGAGGCUCAGUCGUGAUUUUCCUCAGCUAGUGUUCCACACCCCCGCCAAACGCAACACAUCUGAACUGGUUUCUGCUGAAACUUGUCGACGAAUGCAGUCUUGGACUUGUUACCAUCAGGUGCGGAGACGACUCAGUCCAGCGAAAUGAGCCAGACAGACAGCGACACAGAAAGGAGGAAGUCAAAGCAACCAACCACAGCAGAGGAGACACGGACACUUUACACAGCAGCUUUGCUUUUGAAGAGGCUGCUUAGUCACAGUCCUG